UGGGGAAUAUUGGACAAUGGGCGAAAGCCUGAUCCAGCCAUGCCGCGUGUGUGAAGAAGGCCUUUUGGUUGUAAAGCACUUUAAGCGAGGAGGAGGCUACUUAGAUUAAUACUCUAGGAUAGUGGACGUUACUCGCAGAAUAAGCACCGGCUAACUCUGUGCCAGCAGCCGCGGUAAUACAGAGGGUGCGAGCGUUAAUCGGAUUUACUGGGCGUAAAGCGUGCGUAGGCGGCUUUUUAAGUCGGAUGUGAAAUCCCUGAGCUUAACUUAGGAAUUGCAUUCGAUACUGGGAAGCUAGAGUAUGGGAGAGGAUGGUAGAAUUCCAGGUGUAGCGGUGAAAUGCGUAGAGAUCUGGAGGAAUACCGAUGGCGAAGGCAGCCAUCUGGCCUAAUACUGACGCUGUGGUACGAAAGCAUGGGGAGCAAACAGG
rnacentral:rRNA from 1 species